GACGAACGCUGGCGGCGUGCUUAACACAUGCAAGUCGAGCGGUAAGGCCCCUUCGGGGGUACACGAGCGGCGAACGGGUGAGUAACACGUGGGUGACCUGCCCUCAGCUCUGGGAUAAGCCUGGGAAACUGGGUCUAAUACCGGAUAUGACUCCAUGACGCAUGUCGUGGGGUGGAAAGCCUUGUGCGGCUGAGGAUGGGCCCGCGGCCUAUCAGCUUGUUGGUGGGGNGAUGGCCUACCAAGGCGACGACGGGUAGCCGGCCUGAGAGGGCGACCGGCCACACUGGGACUGAGACACGGCCCAGACUCCUACGGGAGGCAGCAGUGGGGAAUCUUGCGCAAUGGGCGAAAGCCUGACGCAGCGACGCCGCGUGAGGGAUGACGGCCU
rnacentral:rRNA from 1 species